rnacentral:rRNA from 1 species
UACGUAGGGGGCAAGCGUUAUCCGGAAUUACUGGGUGUAAAGGGUGCGUAGGCGGCACGCCAAGUCAGUUGUGAAACCCGUAGGCUCAACCUACGGCUUGCAAUUGAAACUGGCGAGCUAGAGUACAGGAGAGGAAAGCGGAAUUCCUAGUGUAGCGGUGAAAUGCGUAGAUAUUAGGAGGAACACCAGUGGCGAAGGCGGCUUACUGGACUGUAACUGACGUUGAGGCUCGAAAGCGUGGGGAGCAAACAGG